rnacentral:rRNA from 1 species
UAUUGACCAUUGACCUCAAUCAGGAGGACUACCGCUAACAGUA